AACGCAUAUUGCGGUUGCGCUCCGGCGCAACCAUGUCUGCCUCAGCGUCCGUGUGAACCCUCACCGACCCCAACACCCUUGGCGGCCGGUGGUCCUGGCCUCCCGAGUCGGCCCGACCGACUCGGCUGGCUGAAAUGUAGAGGGCGUCGCCCGGGCCCCGACUGUGGGCCUCGGUUUGGUAGGUAGUCGUACUACUCCAGCCGAGCGCCUGGCGCCUCGGUGCGAGCCCCGCGGGAAACCCACACCACGACCUGGACCUGAGCUCAGGCAAGGCUACCCGCUGAACUUAA
rnacentral:misc_RNA from 1 species